rnacentral:rRNA from 1 species
UCCUACGGGGCGCAGCAGUGAGGAAUAUUGGUCAAUGGACGAGAGUCUGAACCAGCCAAGUAGCGUGAAGGAUGACUGCCCUAUGGGUUGUAAACUUCUUUUGUCAGGGAGCAAAGGGCGCCACGUGUGGCGUUUUGCGAGUACCUGAAGAAAAAGCAUCGGCUAACUCCGUGCCAGCAGCCGCGGUAAUACGGAGGAUGCGAGCGUUAUCCGGAUUUAUUGGGUUUAAAGGGUGCGCAGGCGGAAUGUCAAGUCAGCGGUAAAAUUUCGGGGCUCA